UUCCAGACUCCUACGGGAGGCAGCAGUGGGGGAUAUUGCACAAUGGGGGGAACCCUGAUGCAGCGACGCCGCGUGAGUGAAGAAGUAUUUCGGUAUGUAAAGCUCUAUCAGCAGGGAAGAAAAUGACGGUACCUGACCAAGAAGCCCCGGCUAACUACGUGCCAGCAGCCGCGGUAAUACGUAGGGGGCAAGCGUUAUCCGGAUUUACUGGGUGUAAAGGGAGCGUAGACGGUUGCGCAAGUCUGGAGUGAAAGGCGGGGGCCCAACCCCCGGACUGCUCUGGAAACUGUGUAACUGGAGUGCAGGAGAGGUAAGUGGAAUUCCUAGUGUAGCGGUGAAAUGCGUAGAUAUUAGGAGGAACACCAGUGGCGAAGGCGGCUUACUGGACUGUAACUGACGUUGAGGCUCGAAAGCGUGGGGAGCAAACAGGAUUAGAUACCCGGGUACAA
rnacentral:rRNA from 1 species